CCUACGGGAGGCAGCAGUAAGAAAUAUUGGUCAAUGGACGAAAGUCUGAACCAGCCAUGCCGCGUGAAGGAUGAAGGUCCUCUGGAUUGUAAACUUCUUUUAUAUGGGACGAAAAAAGGGUUUUCUAACUCAACUGACGGUACCAUAUGAAUAAGCACCGGCUAACUCCGUGCCAGCAGCCGCGGUAAUACGGAGGGUGCAAGCGUUAUCCGGAUUCACUGGGUUUAAAGGGUGCGUAGGUGGGUUGGUAAGUCAGUGGUGAAAUCCCCGAGCUUAACUCGGGAACUGCCAUUGAUACUAUCAGUCUUGAAUACCGUGGAGGUCAGCAGAAUAUGUCAUGUAGCGGUGAAAUGCUUAGAUAUGACAUAGAAUACCAAUUGCGAAGGCAGCUGGCUACCCGAAUAUUGACACUGAGGCACGAAAGCGUGGGGAUCAAACAGGAUUAGAUACCCUGGUAGUCCACGCCCUAAACUAUGGAUACUCGACAUACGCGAUACACUGUGUGUGUCUGAGCGAAAGCAUUAAGUAUCCCACCUGGGAAGUACGACCGCAAGGUUGAAACUCAAAGGAAUUGACGG
rnacentral:rRNA from 1 species